rnacentral:rRNA from 1 species
UACAGAGGUGGCAAGCGUUGUUCGGAAUUACUGGGCGUAAAGGGCGCGUAGGCGGUCCCGUCAGUCCCUUGUGAAAUCCCCCGGCUCAACUGGGGAACUGCAAGGGAUACAGCGGGGCUUGAGUUCGGGAGAGGGAAGCGGAAUUCCGGGUGUAGCGGUGAAAUGCGCAGAUAUCAGGAAGAACACCUAUGGCGAAGGCAGCUCUCUGGGACGGUACUGACGCUGAGACGCGAAAGCGUGGGGAGCGAACAGG